rnacentral:rRNA from 1 species
CCUACGGGUGGCAGCAGUUAGGAAUAUUGGGCAAUGGAGGAAACUCUGACCCAGCAACGCCGCGUGAAGGAAGAAGGUUUUCGGAUUGUAAACUUCUGAUCUGUGGGACGAAGAAAGUGACGGUACCACAGGAGAAAGCCACGGCUAACUACGGGCCAGCAGCCGCGGUAAUACGUAGGUGGCAAGCGUUGUCCGGAAUAACUGGGGGUAAAGGGAGCGUAGGGGGUGGAUUAAGUUAAAUGUGAAAGCGCAGGGCUCAACUCUGGAACUGGAUGUAAUACUGGUCGGCUAGAGUACAGGAGGGGUAAACGGAAUUUCGAGUGGAGCGGUGAAAAGCGUAGAUAUUAGGAAGAACACCGGAGUCGAAAGCGGUUUACUGGACUGCAACUGACACUGAGGCUCGAAAGCGUGGGGAGCAAACAGGAUUAGAUACCCUUGUAGUC